UAGGGAAUCUUCCACAAUGGGCGAAAGCCUGAUGGAGCAACGCCGCGUGUGUGACGAAGGGUUUCGGCUCGUAAAACUCUGUUGUUAAAGAAGAACAUAUCUGAGAGUAACUGUUCAGGUAUUGACGGUAUUUAACCAGAAAGCCACGGCUAACUACGUACCAG
rnacentral:rRNA from 1 species